UACGUAGGUCCCGAGCGUUGUCCGGAUUUAUUGGGCGUAAAGCGGGCGCAGGUGGUUUAUUAAGUCUGGUGUAAAAGGCAGUGGCUCAACCAUUGUAUGCAUUGGAAACUGGUAGACUUGAGUACAGGAGAGGAGAGUGAAAUUCCAUGUGUAGCGGUGAAAUGCGUAGAUAUAUGGAGGAACACCGGUGGCGAAAGCGGCUCUCUGGCCUGUAACUGACACUGAGGCUCGAAAGCGUGGGGAGCAAACAGG
rnacentral:rRNA from 1 species